CGUGUGGAGUUUUUGAAACCUUGCUUCAGAGGCUGCAAAUCCAUGAGACCAUGGACCUUCGGCCACUAGGAGGCACUGUGUUUCCAUGGUAAGCAGGGUGCCCUGGGAGGGGUUGAGAGUCACCUGGAGAAGGAAGCUUAAGGGAACCUUGGCUACAUGCCUGCACCUGGGAGCAGGUUUGAGUUCCCUGAGUGGUCCUGGGACACAUGGAGCCAGCACAGACUCCUCUCUGCUCAGGGAAGAGGGGUCGUGCCUGGAGCCUCAGGAUGUGCCCAGGGGGCCAUCUGUGAAGCAGCAUGGGAAGGGGAGGGUGAGAAGUUGGGGUAUCUGGUGAGGGCUGGGUGAUGAGUGUCUGGCAGGGUCAGACAGAGCAGAACAAGAGUGUGUGGACACAUGGGACCAGGGGAUGAAGCUCCCCUCACACCCAUCCUUGCUGAGGGGCGGUCAGGACAGAGAAGGGCACAGAGGAGCCAGCCCUGGGUCCUGCCAAAGGGUCCAGGGGAUAAGUGCAGCAGGCAGAGACACAGAGCAGUGACGUCAUAGGCAAAUGCUCCAGUCAGGGAAGCAGGAGGGUCGGCACUUUACACCACUCACCCCAGGAGACCUGCCCCCAGCCAGCAGUGGUCCUGGGUUCCUGAUGCUGCCAUGGGCUCCAGGCUCCUCUGCUGUGUGACUCUCUGCCUCCUGGGAGCAGGUCUGGUGGAUUCUGGGGUCACCCAGACCCCCAAAUACCUGAUCAAAUCAAGAAAGCAGCAAGUGAUUCUGAGAUGUUCCCCUGAGUCUGGACACCGCUAUGUAUCCUGGUACCAACAGGCCCUGGGCCAGGGCCCCCAGUUCCUUGUUCAGUAUUUUGAUGGGAAAGUGAGUACAAAAGGAAACAUGCCAGAUCGAUUCUCAGGUGAACAGUUCAGUGACUCUCGCUCUCAGAUGAACCUGAGCUCCUUGGAGCUGACAGACUCAGCCGUGUUUCUCUGUGCCAGCAGCCAAGACACAGCCCUGCAUGAUCAGGUGCCUCUGAUACAAAAACACUCCUGUCCCAGCUCAGGAAGUGGUUGUAGGGCAUUGACUGCCAGCCAGCAAGACACAGCUGCUGGUAGAGUGGACAGUCUUUCCCAAACAUUCUUUCCUGAUAUGUUUUAAUGCUCACAAAGAUUUUGCAAGAUAAGCCUUAUUUUAUCUGCUUAUUUAUCUUAGAGGAAGUGACCUGUCAUAUUACUUAACUGUUAGAGCAAGGAAUACUACUCGAAUCUGACCUU